CGAACGCUGGCGGCGUGCUUAACACAUGCAAGUCGAACGGAAAGGCCCUGCUUUUGUGGGGUGCUCGAGUGGCGAACGGGUGAGUAACACGUGAGUAACCUGCCCUUUACUUUGGGAUAACUUCAGGAAACUGGGGCUAAUACCGGAUAGGAGCUCCUGCUGCAUGGUGGGGGUUGGAAAGUUUCGGCGGUUGGGGAUGGACUCGCGGCUUAUCAGCUUGUUGGUGGGGUAGUGGCUUACCAAGGCUUUGACGGGUAGCCGGCCUGAGAGGGUGACCGGCCACAUUGGGACUGAGAUACGGCCCAGACUCCUACGGGAGGCAGCAGUGGGGAAUAUUGCACAAUGGGCGGAAGCCUGAUGCAGCAACGCCGCGUGCGGGAUGACGGCCUUCGGGUUGUAAACCGCUUUCGCCUGUGACGAAGCGUGAGUGACGGUAAUGGGUAAAGAAGCACCGGCUAACUACGUG
rnacentral:rRNA from 1 species